CCUUGGUGAGCAGGAGAAAAUUACACCACUAAAGAAAUUCAAAAGAGCCAUUUGUAGGGAAAAAUACAGUUGCCUCUGAUUACCUCCCAGCUAGGACUUGAGACAAAAUGACUUGCUCAAGGUCUCAGAGAGUGGAAGCAGCAGAGCCACUACUGAAACCCAUGCUCUUCAUCACUAUGUCGUGCAUGAAGACUCAAUACUAGCAUACCUUCAGAGGGUGGAGAUGAAGCUUUCCCGUGGCCUAUACACCCUCUGGGCUGCUUCAUUCAUUGAUCUGCCUGGCCCCUGAAGGCACUUAACACUUACAUUCUCUGGUCUACGAUGAUUUAUUCCUUUUUUAUAUUUUAUAUCUUGUCUUUAAUAUGUUAAUAACAACAAUUGACUGCAAUAGAUUGAUUUGUGUCUGAAGUUUUAUUUUUGAUU